UGGGAAUCCAACUCUUUAACAGUGUAAAAAACUCAGUAUGCAUGAAAUAGCAUUUCACCCCCCCCCCCCCCCCCCCUUAAACUUUCCUCCACUUAAUUUUUGACAAUACUCUUGAUUACUUGAUUUCAUAGACAUUAUUUUAAGAGAACUGAACAGAACUGGACGAUGACGUCAAUAAAUCAAAAAUUGACUUUAUAAUUGACUUUUUAGAGCUAAUUUACAAUAGAAUUUAAUUUUGUUUGCAUUAUUUACAAACUAUUUUCCUGUUUAACACUGAAAAGCUGUUUUGACACAAUCUGUAUUGUAUAAAGUGUUAUAAAAAAGUGACUUGACUUGACUAAACUGUAAACACAAAACAUAUUUAUAUAGGAUGGAGGGACUUUUCUGAAGUGUUAUUUUUUUCCUUUGCUAUUUGUUUCAGUAGGAAAAGAUCAGUCUCAGAAACAUCCAGCUCUGUGUCUGUGGAGAGUGAUCAUUCAAUAGGUGGUGUACCAGACUUAAGUAUGGAAACAACAUCCCCUGCAAAAAGUAUGAAAAGAUCAAUCUCAGAAACAUUCAGCUCUGUGUCUGUGAAGAGUGAUCAUUCAAUAGGUGGUGUACCAGACUUAAGUAUGGAAACAACAUCCUCUGCAGAAAGGUAAUUUCAUUUGUCUGAUAAGCUGCUUCACUCUUUAAUGAGCUCAACCCGGAGUUUCUUUCCAGUAAUACAAUUGCAACUAAACCAAAAUACAUUAAUCCAUCAAUAGUUGUAAAAAGUAAAAAUUCACAGAUAUGUGUUUAAUUAGCAUUUGUAGCAUUAACUUAUAGGGCCCUAUCAUACACCCGACACAAUGCGACGCACGGCGCAGCACAAGUAUGUUUGCUAGUUUCAGUCCAUCGCUGUUUGCAUUUUCCCAUCCAGCACCAC
rnacentral:lncRNA from 1 species